rnacentral:rRNA from 1 species
UACGGGGGGGGCAAGCGUUGUUCGGAGUUACUGGGCGUAAAGGGCUCGUAGGCGGCCCACUAAGUCGGAUGUGAAAUCCCCAGGCUUAACCUGGGAACUGCAUCCGAUACUGGAUGGCUUGAAUCCGGGAGAGGGAUGCAGAAUUCCAGGUGUAGCGGUGAAAUGCGUAGAUAUCUGGAGGAAUACCGGUGGCGAAGGCGGCAUCCUGGACCGGCAUUGACGCUGAUGAGCGAAAGCUAGGGGAGCAAACGGG